GACGUAGGGUGCAAGCGUUGUCCGGAAUUAUUGGGCGUAAAGCGUCUGUAGGUGGCUUUUUAAGUCUGCCGUCAAAUCCCAGGGCUUAACCCUGGACAGGCGGUGGAAACUACCAAGCUGGAGUACGGUAGGGGCAGAGGGAAUUUCCGGUGGAGCGGUGAAAUGCGUAGAGAUCGGAAAGAACACCAACGGCGAAAGCAGCUCUCUGGGACGGUACUGACGCUGAGACGCGAAAGCGUGGGGAGCGAACAGG
rnacentral:rRNA from 1 species